GAGCGGCGAACGGGUGAGUAACACGUGAGCAACCUGCCCUAGGCUUUGGGAUAACCCUCGGAAACGGGGGCUAAUACCGGAUAUGACCUUACAUCGCAUGGUGUUUGGUGGAAAGUUUUUCGGCCUGGGAUGGGCUCGCGGCCUAUCAGCUUGUUGGUGGGGUGAUGGCCUACCAAGGCGACGACGGGUAGCCGGCCUGAGAGGGCGACCGGCCACACUGGGACUGAGACACGGCCCAGACUCCUACGGGAGGCAGCAGUGGGGAAUAUUGCACAAUGGGCGGAAGCCUGAUGCAGCGACGCCGCGUGAGGGAUGACGGCCUUCGGGUUGUAAACCUCUUUCAGCAGGGACGAAGCGUAAGUGACGGUACCUGCAGAAGAAGCACCGGCCAACUACGUGCCAGCAGCCGCGGUAAGACGUAGGGUGCGAGCGUUGUCCGGAUUUAUUGGGCGUAAAGAGCUCGUAGGCGGCUUGUCGCGUCGACUGUGAAAACCCGCAGCUCAACUGCGGGCCUGCAGUCGAUACGGGCAGGCUAGAGUUCGGUAGGGGAGACUGGAAUUCCUGGUGUAGCGGUGAAAUGCGCAGAUAUCAGGAGGAACACCGGUGGCGAAGGCGGGUCUCUGGGCCGAUACUGACGCUGAGGAGCGAAAGCGUGGGGAGCGAACAGGAUUAGAUACCCUGGUAGUCCACGCUGUAAACGUUGGGCGCUAGGUGUGGGGGGCCUCUCCGGUUCCCUGUGCCGCAGCUAACGCAUUAAGCGCCCCGC
rnacentral:rRNA from 1 species